rnacentral:lncRNA from 1 species
ACUGGGCUUCAAUAUUGGCUUCUAAAUCUUGGGUUUCUGAACUCCGCUCAUCUUGUUGGGGAUACAGUUCAUUCAUGACUUCCACAGCUGCACUAAUGAAAACAUCGUAAACCUGAUUGAUGGGGAUGACAGCCUGUAGCGAACGAAGAGCAUGGUCUACAAUCGGAGCAGCGGGGUAGAAGGAUAGCAAUAGGAGAACAGGAUAAACAUACCAGAAGAGUGGCUGCGGGAAAAUGAGUGAAGCCAUGAAUGAAACAGUGGCGGAGAGCGGGCGGUUUCCAAAUCGCAGACGUAUGUGGAGUGUGU